rnacentral:rRNA from 1 species
UACGUAGGGUGCAAGCGUUUAAUCGGAAUUACUGGGCGUAAAGCGCGUGUAGGCGGCUCUGCAAGUCGGAUGUGAAAGCCCUCGGCUCAACCGAGGAAGUGCACCCGAAACUGCAGAGCUAGAGUCUCGGAGAGGAUGGUGGAAUUCCCAGUGUAGAGGUGAAAUUCGUAGAUAUUGGGAAGAACACCGAUGGCGAAGGCAGCCAUCUGGACCGACACUGACGCUGAGGCGCGAAAGCGUGGGGAGCAACAGG